rnacentral:lncRNA from 1 species
AAUCUAACAUACAACUCCUACUGGUGGGCCGGCAUUGUGGCCGUAGACCCACCGCUACUGGAAGGUAACUCACCUUACACUGCUGAAGUCUCGAAGACACAAUCCCACACUUGCUGAAGUCCUGCAGACUCGACCCCAGCUACUAGCUGAUAGAUUCCCGAACUGUCAACACCAAAAUAACACUCAAUUAAUAAUUGGGUCCCAAAUCAUAACCAUAAGUACAUUCUUUGGGUAAUUACUACAUUACCCAUCGCUUGGCUUAUUCAAGCCCAAGGCCCAAUCCGUAGGCCCAAAGUCAAUUAGGAAUCAAAGCCCAACACAUGGCCCAAUUUCCAAAUUGGCCUAGGCCUAUACAUGGUCUCAUUCUGAGGCCUAACAUCAUGUACUUAUUAAGGCCCAAAAUAUGGCCUCAAGCCCUUUACAUAGGCCUUACCCUAGGCCCAUUAACUUAUUCUAGUCCAAUUGCUUGACUUUGGAUGGCCCAUUAAUAACCCGAUCAUCAAGGCCCAAUAAGAGGCCCAAUAAUAAACCCAAAUGAGAUUAGGGUUUCACAUAAAAUGACAAUUAAGGUUAGGUUUCCUACUUAACCCAUUAAGGACUUAAUCCUCUAAGGACUUUAAUCCAUUAAGUCUAAUAUCGUUUAGAUUAAUCUUUGCCAAUGAUUAUUAUUUAAUAUCUCAAGUUAUUAAAUAAUUUUCGUGUGUCCCGAUUAAUUCCCCCAAAUUAGGGUUUCAUGGCAUUUGGGUUUUCCAAACCCUAAUUAGGGUCUCCAACCCAAUACUAGCCCAUUAAUUAAUUUGUUGGGCUUUUAGAUCAAUUAGGGCUUUAUUGGGCCUAUUAAUCCCAUUAGAAUAUUAUUAAGCCCAUUAAGGUUUCAUUAGGGUCCAUUAAGGUUUUAUUAAGCCCAUUAAGUCUUAUUGGGCCCAUUAGGGUUUCAAACCCCCAAACAAAUCAACAAAAUCAAGACAAGGCACACCGCCACCCAACACGGCGACCCGUGGCGGCGGGAGGCGGUAGCCACCACCUCACGGUGGUGGUUUUGAUUUUUACUUUCUUUAUUCCAAUUUUUUUUUUACAUUUUACAAUGAACCCAUGAAAUAAACACACACACCCACUACAUGAAAAUAACACAGACACAGCCACCUAAUGGUGGCCAGCGGUGGCACAUGGGGGUAGCCACCACCUCACGGUGGUGGCUAAGACUUCCCUUCAAAUUCCGACCAAGGGUUUCACACCCACACACUACGACACACACAAAGCCCUAAAACAGUUACACCAUCACCCACCUAGAGGUUCACGGUGGUGGCAACGAUAGACACGUCGUCGGCAGCAACACAAGCGAACAACAGCAACGGCGGUAGGGCGGCGAAGCAACCAUGAAAACAGCAGCAAUAGAAGGAGGACACGCCUGCUCGUGUCCUCCUCGACGAUUUAAAAUAGCAACGCCGCUGGGAGGCCAACACCACACUCCGACAGCAACGUUAUUGGCUGGGAACAGAAACAAUACCUUCCCCGACAUCAGACUUCAAAUGCCUCGGUUCCUCCAGCGACAACUCGUGGAAGCAUAGAACCUGAGAUAGUGGCAACGGCAGGUUCAUUAUAGUGGCUUCGGUGGUCGACAGCUCAAUAGUGGUGGUGUGGCGCCGGGAGGUGAAGAAGGAAGCGGCAAACGGUGGGAGGCAUAAGGGGGGUAUGGGAGUGACGGUUGUAUAGUCUUUUAUGGUUAGGGUAAUGUAACAAGGAAGAAGCAACUAUCGGGUUUAAAUCCCACAUCAAACAAUCCUUUGCCUGUUUUUACAUGAUCGGUCCCUCCCCCUUGGGAUCUUUUCAAAUUAGCUCCAAUAAUUACAAUUUUACCCCUCCUCUACAAAUUUGUUCUCAAUAAAGUCCCAAAAUUCACAAGUUAGUUCCUGAGUCUCCAAGGCCUCUUCAAUGAAGUCCCAAAAGUUACCAUAUAGCCCCUUCCUUCAAAAAUAUAUACAAAACUAAUCCAUAAUUAACAAAACCACCCCUUGAUUGACAAUUUCUUUUCAAUUAAGGUCCAAUGCUCAAAUUUAAGCCAUGUUACAUUUUUAGUCCCUGCCUUCUAACAUUGUAGCCUUUGGUUCACAAAAACCAACACCUUGCAAUAGAAUUAUUUAUUUUAAGGCUACUAAUCGUUCAUUAUUUUAUUUAUUUAUUUAAUAAAUAAAUAGGUGUUACAACUCUCCCCCACUUAAAUUAGAUUUCGUCCUCGAAAUCAUUUCUUACCAUUUCUUAUGCACCUAACCACUCAAGUAAUAUGGCCACCAUAUUGGGCACACCCUGGCCUUCCCAGGGUAACUGUGACCAAUCUUCGUAAAGCCUUAAAAUAUGUUGUCUCAAGAUGGCCUGAUCCCCUGACAGCCCACUCAUACUGAAUCAUUAUCGACAAGUCCAGUCUGUUUGUCCUUCAACUGUCUACUCAACUUCUGAUAGUUCAUGGUUCCCACUAUAAAAUAGGUUCACAUACCUUAUUAUCCUAGCAGAUCACUUAUUCUUGGUCAAGGCUCUGCUAAUCCCGCUGGGAGUGACUUGUCACUUCCUAACCAACCAGUUAUUCCGUCCGUACUUGCAAUCCUGAACACAAAUGCUAAGAUUGCCCAAACACUGAACUACCUGAAGUAGCAUACGCUGCUACAUAGCUGCUUACCAAAAGCUACCAAGACCUCUUGGGUCAUAAUUCGCUUGCCAAUCCUCUGAAAUACUGAGUUUCCACCUGACUGCAGAGCCAAAGGACUUCAUACUUAGUCGCCUCACAUGACUUCUGAACGAAAUCCUUCUCUGGAACUAGUUGCCACUAGUUAUCAUGCCACUAUGAGUCUAACGACUUUCUGAUCUAACCGAUCGAGUCCAUGCAUCGCAUCCUGUCAUCAUCCAAUCCAAGAAUAAAAGUGAUCGCUACCUAACCAAUGGUAGCCUUACAUCACCAACGCCCUUACGCAGUCCAUUACAUCCCUGAUCUCACAACUAUGGUGGCGUUCCUACAAUCUUAUCACUGGCUCAACCAGAUUUAAUCCAUCUGGGUAAUACAAAAAUCCAAUAUGGGGAUUUCCAUAUCCUCACUGCCGCACCCGAACUGGUGGGUACUACUGUUCCUUUGACGUUGUAACAACACGCUCAUGCCAUCUACCAACCUAGUGAAUGAUACGGCUACACUCGCUGACUUACAACAUUCUAUCACUGUCUACCUGCUAGUGAAUGCUAUGGCUACACCCGCAGACUUACAACAUUCUAGUACUAUCUGCCAACCUGGUGAAUGCUACGGCUACACCCACAGACUCACAACACCUUAACACUAUCUGCUAACCUGGUGAAUGCGACGGCUACACCCGCAGACUUACAAUACCCCUCACACGAUCUGCUGCUAGUGAAUGCUAUGGCUACCCCCGUAGUCUUACAACACUUCCCAUGAUAACUGACUGCUAGUGAAUGCUAUGGCUACCCCCGUAGUCUUACAACACUUUCCAAACUAUCUGACUGCUAGUGAAUGCUACGGCUACCCCCGUAGUCUUACAACACUAUCCAUACUGGGUCGAACACGCACUCGACCUAACACAGAACUGAACUUGAGUCCUAACUGGAACACAAAUCUGGUUCCCGAAACCUGUUAUCACGUGACCCCAUUGUAUCAGUAGUGUACCGAUGCUCGUGAUCAAAGCGUCACCAUAAACCACAAAAUCAUCUACACCCUCUGGCAGGGUGAGAAUCGGUGUCUCGUACAACCGAUGUCUGAGAGCAUCGAAGGCUGCCUGCUGCCCAGGUCCCCAACGAAAGGCCACUGAUUUCUUGGUCAGUCGGGUCAAAGGAACCACAAUAUCGAAGAAGUCCUACAUAAAUCUCCGGAAAUAACCCGCUAUACCCAGGGAAUUCCGAAUCUCAGAUGGAGACCUCGGAAUCUCCCACUACAUCACAGAAUCUAUGUUGGCCGAAUCAACUAGAAUACCCUUCUGGUUGACAAGGUGGCCAAGAGAUUGCACCUUGCACAACCAGAACUCAGUUGGAGAACUUUAUAAAAAGCCUCUCCCCCAUUUAGACUCGACUAAGUCUUCACAUUACAUGAGAAUUGAAGGAUUUCCAAUCCUUCUCGCUUUCUAAUAUCCCACUGAUGACAACCAGUACCUGCUAAUGCUAGCGCUUAAUCGCCGAUUAAACCUAGAGAUCUCCCAUCCUCGGGAAUCUUGAUGAGUACUCUUGAAAUAUGGUCCAAUCUGACACCUUAAUCUACCUCCCAUGUUGACAACUGGAGGCCUUAAUUCUCACUCUGGCUGACGAAUCCUCACCCUCACUUCCAAUCUUGCAGCACUACUAAACUCUAACUGAACACAGCCCAUGCGAAAAUACAAUUCUCUUAAACAUGCGAUGACCAACCACUUAUGCAUCUAACACCUGUGACUGAUACUACCCUUUUCAUGUGACCAGCUCUAUUCUAGCAACGGUAGUGCCUUGAACUCCAAAGUUCAUCCAUAGACAAUUAUCGACCAUAGUUGAACAAUGAUAGAGCCCCAUGAACACUGACUUCAUUGGAGAACAAUCACUCCAAACCUGAUCGAGUAUCCUCUAAAUAAUACUCCUGCAUAGAUCCCGACAAGGAUCCGAAAUGAUAACGGUAUGUGAGGAACCCACUCCGCAAGAUGCGUCCCUAUUUGGAUUCAUCAAGGACCUUUUCGGCAUGCAGAAUGGCAUAUAUGAUCCUUGGUAACCCAAAUACUAGCAGAAAAACCGACCCGAGGUCUGACUUAUCCAAACUCGCUCACAAUUCCAAAGCAGUACGUAUUCCAAGCAUCUACCUAAUAUCAUAGAAGAUGACAUUCCCAUAACAUCUGGAGGAAUACUGACCCCCUUCUGCUGACAUGACCAAUCCUGCUACCCUGUAGCAGCCUAAACCCUUGGAGUGACAAACUAUCUCAUGUACUUUCUCGUACGCGCUGCACUAACUCAGGCCAUGCUGGCCUUUCACCCAAUGAUCAGAAGUCAUGGGUCUCCUCCUGGGACCCUCUCCUAUAUGCGCCUAGCAAGCACCUCUCUUUCCAGGGUGCUCCUAAAUCGAUCACGCAUCUGCAACUCUUGGAAAUCAUAUCCUUCAGGGUCUGGCACCCUAUCACGCUCACUAGCUCACUUGCCAAUGGCUAAGCUGCAACACCUGGAACAUCCUCUAUCCCCAAACUGGGUCACGAACUCUUCCCUGAAGCUUCUUAGAUUCUAGACUUUCACUGAUUCGAGUAUGGAUCCUGUGUUUUCAGUAGUACGGGCCCAAUACUACCUUCCACACCUAUCCAUACUUGCCUCAGCAAUCCUCCCGAAUCCUCCAAGUCACUUCCUCAAUCUGGCACACCCAAGUCUGACUGAGCCUCACUACUAACUCACUGAAAUAUAUCCUAGGCUUCCCUAGGUUCCCGAACUCACCCAGUCCUUAGCUGCUGAAAGAUUCCUGGUAAUGUCAACUAGCUACCUUACGAAUAUAGCCACUUGCAACAGAGAUCAAAUAAUCCUUCAAGUAACAGACUCAUCCCUAUAACGGUUAGACUCAAACGAGAGCUACGCAAUAGGGUUAAAUCUAUCACUCUGAGAUUAUCCAUCCUGUGCCACAUGUGACUUAGCAUAUUCACUUAAUAGCUAACACACAUUACUAAGAGUUCCACAAAGCACAAAGCAAGCAGCAUUCAGACAAUGGAAAAUCUAACCAUCAUAUUCCAAUCAAAUCAUUCUAUCCUCUAAUCAGGAAUCUAUACAUGCAAUUCAAAGGCUCAUAUAAUUAGGCAUAACCUAAACAGGCUAUCCUAUUACUGAGUGAUCAGUACUAGCAUGCAAGUCUACAAGCACAUACAAUAGGCAUAUAAGGUAUCCUCCUAGAUCCUUAGCCCUAAUAUAGCAUGCAAUUCUCAUAACCAUAUCAUAUCAUACCAUAAUAUAACAUGUAUGGAUAUCUUGGGGAAAACUUACUUGAUCUCGGCUGAUUGCACACAUCAUACACUUUGUUCUUCUCAAAGUUCCUUUCUUUUUUCAGAUUCUUUUCAAACUCCUUUUUAUAAAAAUGGUUUUACUUUUGAAAAUUUUCAUACCAAACCCUUAGUUUGAGUUCAGACACACCCGGAAGUAUGUCUAAAUCCAUCAAACCAAAGCUCUGAUACCAACUUGUAACAUCCCAAAAAUACAGGCCAAAAAUUUCAUUUUUAAUUACAUCAUUUUAAAACCAAUAGUGUAAUAAAACAUCUGUAAUAUUAUGUCAUGUCAAACCAAAGUAGAAAUAAUCAAACAUAUUAUCAUAAAACAAUAUCAGAGUGUAAUCCCAAAGAUCUCAUGUGCGGAAAACCAUAGUGUGAUGCGCUGCGAUCAAGCCGGCUCCUUUCCUUUAAACACGAAGUACCUGAAACCAAAACUGAAAACCGUAAGCACAAAGCUUAGUGAGUUUCCCCAUCAUACCACAUACUACACAAUCACAUAUCAUACAUACUGUCGGGCAAUUCUGGGGUGCCCGACUUACCCGGUACGGCCAUUCUGCGGUGCCGACCUACCCGUGUCAAGCCGUUCUGGGUUGCUGACUACCCAUGUCAAGCCAUUAUGGGGUGCUGACUACCCAUCGGUUCUAACAACCGAUCCUCAGGGACUAUUUCACCCCUUACUGCUACUAUCACAUAUAUCAUAACAUAACAUAUUAUCAGACAUAUCUGGUCGAUCUACCCUUCGGUCCUAACGACCGAACUUGGGGACUACUCCCCUCCUACUACCACUAUCACAUAUAACAUAUCAUGCCAGCAUAUAAACAUAUCAUCACAUACUGUCAGACUUAUCUGGGGUGUCUGACCUACCUUUCGGUCCUAACAACCGAACUCUACUACUAUCACAUAUACAUAUCAUGCCAGCAUAUAACAUAUCAGGUAGUAGCAAACCUAGAUGAUAUCACAAAGACAAUAAUCUAACAUACAACUCCUACUGGUGGGCCGGCAUUGUGGCCGUAGACCCACCGCUACUGGAAGGUAACUCACCUCACACUGCUGAAGUCUCGAAGACACAAUCCCACACUUGCUGAAGUCCCGCAGACUCGACCCCAGCUGCUGGCUAACAGAUUCCCGAACUGUCAACACCAAAAUAACACCCAAUUAAUAAUUGGGUCCCAAAGCAUAACCAUAAGUACAUUCUUUGGGUAAUUACUACAUUACCCCUUGCUUGGCUUAAUCAAGCCCAAG